rnacentral:rRNA from 1 species
ACGGUGAGUAACACGUAUCCAACCUGCCGUCUACUCUUGGCCAGCCUUCUGAAGGAAGAUUAAUCCAGGAUGGCAUCAUGAGUUCACAUGUCCGCAUGAUUAAAGGUAUUUUCCGGUAGACGAUGGGGAUGCGUUCCAUUAGGCAGUUGGUGAGGUAACGGCUCACCAAACCUUCGAUGGAUAGGGGUUCUGAGAGGAAGGUCCCCCACAUUGGAACUGAGACACGGUCCAA